AGGAGAACUGAAGAAGCCAUGACAGAAACAGGAACUGGUCAUGCCUAAGAAAGACCUUUCAGGGUUAUUCUGUUUAAAGGAAAAAAAAAAAAUUAAGGAAAACAAGCCUAGUUCCUUAGCUGAAAAGUUGCCAUCCAGAACACAGCAAAGGGAUGUCAUCAUUUGUUUCAUGCAAAUUCUCACUACUGCUAUCAAGCGCACUAAGUGCUUAGUCCCAUUUCUCUUCAAAUCAACAGAAAAAUGAAAAACAUUACCGUUUGUGCCAGUUCACAACCAAGCUUUAGCAUCUAUCACAGUUUUAGCAUUGCAACACCACUGCCAGAGGUUGUAUUUCUGAGAAGGAUCUUCACUCACUUGAAUGGAAAUAGCUGUACUCCACAUCUAGUACUACUGAACUGCCAGCUGUGCUCAGGAGAUAUUAAUAACCACUAAUGCUGCAGAUGGAAGGGUGGACAGAGAGGAUGUCCUGCCACUGCAAAGCCAAGAGACUGCUGUGGUGAGGAGUUAUUGCUGGCCAUUUCUCCUAUUCGUCGCUUGGAAUAAAAUACAUCCAGGCAGACAUCUGACUUGGUUGGUGUGGACACCUGCUGAGCACCUCUUCAUAGAUGAUUCACAUGUCUGGGUAAGGCAGCAGGGUCCUGUCAUUAAUGCAGUGGGCUGAGAAAGAAGGUGUAUCACAUCCUCAUCCCAGAACUAGCAUGGAUUUUAUUCUGUGACCUUUGACAAUUCACUAACCCAGGUGCUGUUACCCUUCAUCAACCAUAGCAGACUGUGUGGCAAGGGUGAAUUGUCUCACUCCAAAUGCCAGUGCCAGGAAAGCUAGGGCUCAUGGUGCUCAGUGGAAGCUCAUGCUCUCCCCUCCAGUACUCCUGGGCAGUCUGCCAUCCCAUUAACACUCAUGCACACCAAAAACAAUGGGCAAAAGCAAAAGCAUCUCAGAUCCCACAAGAACUGAUCCUUCUGCAGAGAAACACUGGCUGUGAAAUAGGGUGUACAAGCUGCCAAACAGGAGGGAGAGGAAUCACCAUCCUCCUGUUUGGGAACACCUGACUGUCUGCUUGAAGAGAGGCUCCUGGCAAGUGACAGCGACAUCAGAGCAGAGAUGAUACCACCUCACAGAAAAUGUGCAGGCACCAAGUGACCACAUGGCUUUGUUGUGAACUGCUCAGCUUCCCCAGCAUCCCUCCAGCACCACAUUGGUUAAGCAGAAACAGAGCAAAGCUUGGCUUUUCCCAGGGACGCCUCCACGAGAUAAGAUGUGCACCGACUCGGUCUGGGCUGGUUCCCCUUUGAUCAGGACUGACAGGUGGGCUGGACUCUGCUGAGUGGUUUGUUUCUGCUGCCCAGCUCUGCCCUCCUUUUGACUCAGGCAGCAAGGAAGCUGAGUCACAUCCCCGCAGUCUGUGCCCUGGCCAUGCUUACUCUCUCCUGCCCAGCUGAGCAGGGUGUGCCAGCACCCACACAGACUCCCUCAGCACACAGGCCCCCACCACCAGUCAUGAGCCUGACCUGGUGCCAGAAGCUUUGCCAGCUGAAACACCACUCCAUGGGAAAGUCCCCAGCCCUCACAGCAGGAGGAAAGCUGGCCUGGGAGGAAGACAGAUGCAAUCAGAAAAUACUACCGAUUUUAGCAGAAAGCUGGCCAUACACUAAGGACCUACCACCUAGAGUAGCUGAGAUGAGAAUGAAAAAUGAGAAAGGCCAAGAAUGGUCAGUUUUACUAGCUGUAGGUUUGAAAUCAGAACUGAUGGUGUCACAGGAAGAAGAGCAGGAUCAAGCCACUGCCACAAAAGGCCUUUUUUUUGCAGCAGUUCCCCUCAGACUGCUAUUUGCAUGUCUGCUCCAAGGGCUGCUCAUCAUGGCUGGAACCAGCCGAACACAGAUCAUGAACCAGUUUUUAAUGGUGUGUUUCUCAGAGGAACAUGUGCCCAACAAAACUAGCUUUUGCUGUACAAAAAGUUAAGCUGGAAUCACUUUUGAGUCAGAAAGAAAUCCCGGCACAACAAUUAUCUUUCUGAAAAAGGCAGCCCCUUGAAAAAGCAGUACAAGUUAAAAGAUUAAUCUUCCUUUCUAGACUUCAUUUGUCAUCAUCCAAGCAAGACUUUACUCCAUCAGUUAGCUGGAAUAUGGAUAGAGUAGUAUCUAUAAGGUCCCAGAAAGUUGUAGAAGAGCUCAGUGCCUGGCCAAACCUUGUGGUGUCCCACAGUGCCUCUUCCUCCUCUGUAACAUUCUGAGGGAAGCAGCAGGCAGCCUUCCAACAUGCAGGCAGACAGCUGGUUCUUCACUGAGGCUUCCUCUACCUCAACACCUAUUGCAAAGGAAUGAGCACCAAAAAUCUGGGGAGCCAGCUUCCCAUCCCAAGAGCCUGUGUGUCAGUCUGGAAUACUGCAGUCCCCUCUCAGAGAAUUAAGCAUGAGCUAGAUCCACCUGACUGACACACUUCUCUGGGUGAAAGGUCUUGGCGAGAAACAUGUCAAUAAUAAUGAGCUGGUUCCCUCAUGGGACAUCAGUGCUCUUGAAGGGCAGAGCAACAGGCGGGUCUGUGGGGCAGUGCAGCUUACAAACACCCAGCUAUGAGGACUGAAGGUCAAUGAUGGAAGGUGGGUGCCAGUUUCCUCCAUGACUGCAGGAAGACAAAUGGUCUGACUUUUAGAGAACUGGUGUGAUGAGUGGAGCUGGGGUAUUACAACACACAUCUGAGAUACUGGUUAGUAAAUAAGGAAUCCUUCUCUCAUGACUGUGAAGAGGGCUUUGUAUCCCUGUGUUUUCAGUAGCAAUGUAGCAAGAGCUGCACUGGUGUAGGCAGGGUCAGAAUGAAAGCCAUUAAGUGCCCCUUUGGACACCAGCUUUCUGGCACUAAA